AGGAAUCAACAACGUGGGCUGGGUCCUCCCGGCUCCCUAGGGACAAGUGACGCCGGUGUUGACACCCCGCUCUGGCGGGUUGGCCGUGUCGCAAGCCUCUCGGUUGACGCCCCUCUCCACCUUGCUCACCACUGGAUGCCACACAGUUUCUAGUAAAUGAUGCAAAGGUGAUUCAACAAUUUUUCUGGUUCUUCUGAAGCUGUUCUGGAACCCUGAAGAUAAAAAGUGCUAUUGAUGCAAUAUGAAACAUAGAUGCUCUUCAACGCACAAAGAAAGAAAAUGUAUCCAGGAUUUACUUGACUGGCUUUCGCUAGCAUUUGAAUUUGAGACAGGCAGAGUGUUCUGACAUGAAAGCAUGAUUCAUGCAGAGCAAGACGAUGACUUCUAUGAGCUUCAACCCUGCUGAUUAUUAUAAGUUGUUUUCAAACAGGAUGGCAGCAAAAUGCAGGCCCCUCAUACGGAAACCGUAAUGCCCCACAGUGUUGGCAGUCCGGUACCUUUCUUAGGACAUGAUGCUUUUCAGGGUGUUAAAGGUUGAUGUUAGGCAUGGCAAUCCAGAAUGUUGUUGUAGCUAGAUCCGUACCAGGGGAUAGAGAUUGAGGACAUGAGUGAGGUUGAAGACAUCCAUCAGAAGGUAAUUGAGAAUCCAAUCCAAUUUGUCGCCAGUGGGGAGAUGAAGAAGGAGCGAUGCAGGCUUGCGAGGUCACCUUGGAGUCGACGGAGCUGUGCAGGUAUUCAAGGUCGCCGAGGAGGGAGAAGACGGGCUGUGCAGGAUUGCGAGGUUGCCGUGCAGGGAGACGUCGGGCUGCUGGUCAGCGUAUGGCGCGGUGGCCAGGCAAGGCAGGCAGCGAGCUGCUGGGCAGCGUAUGGCGCGGUGGCCAGGCAAGGCAGGCGGCGGGCUGCUGGGCAGCGUAUGGCGCGGUGGCCAGGCAAGGCAGGCGACGGUUGCUGUUCUGGACAGGAGAUCCGCGGUAAUCAAUUUUUAAGUUUUGGGAUUGAAACUUACGUGAUUAGCGGGGUGGGGACGUGGGAUUCCUAUUUUCCUCUAUUGGUGAUUGGUGAAGCAUGGUCCGUCAAUGUUAAUUCCUAAGUGCACACCGGUCCUGUAUGUCAGUUUGAGAGAUGUGGGACUGAUUAUGUGGUGAUGUUUGGUCUGUGGACAAUUAGCGGGGUGUAUGUAAGAAAGUUUAUGUUUGCUCUUUUA